UCACUAACCGACAUGCCGGCCCAACUAGUGCAUCUGUAGAGUCGCCGCCUGCUUCACUGUAGUUUCCUUUAGUUUGCCACCUCAUGUGUCUGUCUGUCUCUGCAGCUCAUCUGUGCGCCGGCAUUCAAAAUGAACACAAACCUCUCUUUCUGUCUUCAAGCCUCAGAUGUACAGGCCCCUCUCCUUCUCCUCACUGCCGCCGCCUCCACCAGCACCACCAAGGACGAGCCCACUGACGAGGAGUUGCUGAAGGCCACACAAGGGCAAGAUGACCCUGCAGCACUCCUCAUCAGGGUCGUGCAGAGACGCUGCCGCUGCCACUACCACCGUGACAGCCACCACCGCAGCCUGCAGCUGCCAUCCCGGAGGAGUUGCCAGGGCCUUCCUCCCUCCUUCACCACCUGCUAGCAGUGUUGGGCUGCCGCCCGAGUCCUGGCACACAGCUCUCACUGCAGGGCAGCAGGACUGGAUCGGCCGGGUGCUGUUUACCAGGAACAGCUGUGAGAGGCCUCGACUCACCAGCGAGCUCAAUCUCUGGUGGUACCACCCACAAGCUCGGCCGAUCUACAAUCAGCCUCCCGCGUCCCCCCGACCCUGUCUUUGCACAUUGGCUGUUCCUGUGGAUGCUGCACAGGAUCUGGCGUCGGCAGCUGACAUGCAUGUUUGUGCACAGGGUCCUUGACAAAGGCUGGGCUGUGCAGGACCAUCCGGAGGGUCCUAGACGUUGACGGCUGGUAUCUCAUUGUCACUGAGUACCUGGAGUGCCGUUGAUGUAAGAAGAAGGUCGGCAGGUGGUCACAGGGCCAAUUCCCUGCUGUACUGACGUACAAGCUGUCUUGUGACCUGAGGGUGGUUGCUGAUGGUGUACGGGUAUGACGUCCUGACGCGGCUGGACGAGUAUAAUGCCAGGAUCACGUCCACCUUCAGGUCUAUCUUGAAGAUGGACUCCAC